rnacentral:rRNA from 1 species
CCUACGGGUGGCAGCAGUGAGGAAUAUUGGUCAAUGGACGAGAGUCUGAACCAGCCAAGUAGCGUGAAGGAUGACUGCCCUAUGGGUUGUAAACUUCUUUUAUAUGGGAAUAAAAUGUUCCACGUGUGGGAUUUUGUAUGUACCAUAUGAAUAAGGAUCGGCUAACUCCGUGCCAGCAGCCGAGGUAAUACGGAGGAUCCGAGCGUUAUCCGGAUUUAUUGGGUUUAAAGGGAGCGUAGGUGGAUUGUUAAGUCAGUUGUGAAAGUUUGCGGCUCAACCGUAAAAUUGCAGUUGAAACUGGCAGUCUUGAGUACAGUAGAGGUGGGCGGAAUUCGUGGUGUAGCGGUGAAAUGCUUAGAUAUCACGAAGAACUCCGAUUGCGAAGGCAGUUCACUGGACUGCAACUGACACUGAGGCUCGAAAGUGUGGGUAUCAAACAGGAUUAGAUACCCGAGUAGUC